AAAGUCGUAACAAGGUUUCCGUAGGUGAACCUGCGGAAGGAUCAUUAAUGAAUCGAAAGAACGCGUGAGUUUCUCGGGUUGCUGCUGGCCUCGCGAGAGGUAUUCGUGCACGCCCCUGUUUCUCGCGUCGUCCCCCUUUCUUCAUCGUCGACCCCCCUAUACGUGCACCCCUAUGCGGACCGGAAUCUUCCCGGUCUCGCGUCUUUACACACACACGCCUUUCAAUAGAACAGAAUGAGACAACGUCGAGUUCACGCUCGUCGGAAAACAUAAUACAACUUUCAACAACGGAUCUCUUGGCUCUC
rnacentral:misc_RNA from 1 species